CCUACGGGGGUCAGCAGUGAGGAAUAUUGGUCAAUGGACGCAAGUCUGAACCAGCCAUGCCGCGUGCAGGAAGACGGCUCUAUGAGUUGUAAACUGCUUUUGUACGAGGGUAAACGCAGAUACGCGUAUCUGUCUGAAAGUACUGUACGAAUAAGGAUCGGCUAACUCCGUGCCAGCAGCCGCGGUAAUACGGAGGAUUCAAGCGUUAUCCGGAUUUAUUGGGGUUAAAGGGUGCGUAGGCGGUCGGAUAAGUUAGAGGUGAAAUCCCGAGGCUCAACUUCGGAAUUGCCGUUGAUACUGUUCGGCUAGGGGGGAGUAGCGGUAGGCGGAAUGGAAGGUGUAGCGGUGAAAUGCUUAG
rnacentral:rRNA from 1 species